rnacentral:rRNA from 1 species
GACGAACGCUGGCGGCGUGCUUAACACAUGCAAGUCGAACGGUGAACCUUUUCGGAGGGGUUCAGUGGCGAACGGGUGUGUAACGCGUGGGCAACCUGCCUCCGGCUCUGGGAUAACUCCAAGAACUUGGGGCUAAUACCGGAUGUUCACUGCUUCCCGCAUGUGUGGUGGUAGAACGGGUUUCUGGCUGGGGAUGGGCCCGCGGCCUAUCAGCUUGUUGGGGGGGUAGUGGCCUACCAAGGCGACGACGGGUAGCCGGGCUGAGAGGGUGAGCGGCCACACUGGGACUGAGACACGGCACAGACUACUACGGGAGGCAGCAGAGGAGAAUGGAAGGCAAUGGACGGAAGGAUAAAGCAGCGAAGCGGCGUGGGGGAUAACGGCAAUCGGGUUGUAAACCACAAUCAGAAGGGAAGAAACGCAAGUGACGGUACCUGCAGAAGAAGCACCGGCCAACUACGUG